rnacentral:lncRNA from 1 species
CGCCCUUUGCGACUCCGCUGAACUUGAUGAGCCUGUCUUCGCCGAUCAUAAUCUCCUCGACGGUGUCGCACGUGCCGAGCACGUUGCCCUCGGGGUCGUCGAAGGUGGAGCAGAUCUCGCCGCCGGUGACCAGCGCGAGUCGCUCGACGCCGUCAAAGUCGGCGUGCUCGAUGGACGCGACGCCGAGGUCGCUGAGAACCUGCUCCGGGUAGUUGUAGAUGAGCUGACGGUUGAUGAAGAGGUUGCAGCCGUGCUUCGCGAUCUUCUCGCACUUGGCUGCC